AACGAACGCUGGCGGCAUGCCUAACACAUGCAAGUCGAACGAGAUCUUCGGGUCUAGUGGCGCACGGGUGCGUAACGCGUGGGAAUCUGCCCUUUGGUUCGGAAUAACAGUUGGAAACGACUGCUAAUACCGGAUGAUGACGAAAGUCCAAAGAUUUAUCGCCAGAGGAUGAGCCCGCGUAGGAUUAGCUAGUUGGUGUGGUAAAGGCGCACCAAGGCGACGAUCCUUAGCUGGUCUGAGAGGAUGAUCAGCCACACUGGGACUGCGACACGGCCCAGACUCGUACGGGAGGCAGCAGUGGGGAAUAUUGGACAAUGGGCGAAAGCCUGAUCCAGCAAUGCCGCGUGAGUGAUGAAGGCCUUAGGGUUGUAAAGCUCUUUUACCCGAGAUGAUAAUGACAGUACCGGGAGAAUAAGCUCCGGCUAACUCCGUGCCAGCCGCCGCGGUAA
rnacentral:rRNA from 1 species